rnacentral:rRNA from 1 species
AUAUUGCACAAUUGGCGGAAGCCUGAUGCAGCAACGCCGCGUGCGGGAUGACGGCCUUCGGGUUGUAAACCGCUUUCGCCUGUGACGAAGCGUGAGUGACGGUAAUGGGUAAAGAAGCACCGGCUAACUACGUGCCAGCAGCCGCGGUGAUACGUAGGGUGCGAGCGUUGUCCGGAUUUAUUGGGCGUAAAGGGCUCGUAGGUGGUUGAUCGCGUCGGAAGUGUAAUCUUGGGGCUUAACCCUGAGCGUGCUUUCGAUACGGGUUGACUUGAGGAAGGUAGGGGAGAAUGGAAUUCCUGGUGGAGCGGUGGAAUGCGCAGAUAUCAGGAGGAACACCAGUGGCGAAGGCGGUUCUCUGGGCCUUUCCUGACGCUGAGGAGCGAAAGCGUGGGGAGCGAACAGGCUUAGAUACCCUGGUAGUCCACGCUGUAAACGGUGGGUACUAGGUGUGGGGUCCAUUCCACGGGUUCCGUGCCGUAGCUAACGCUUUAAGUACCCCGCCUGGGGAGUACGGCCGCAAGGCUAAAACUCAAAGGAAUUGACGGGGCACAAGCGGCGGAGCAUGCCGUAUUUAUUCUAUGCUUACGCGUAGGAACUUUACCUGGGUUUGACAUGGAUCGGGAGUGCUCAGAGAUGGGUGUGCCUCUUUUGGGGUCGGUUCACAGGUGGUGCAUGGCUGUCGUCAGCUCGUGUCGUGAGAUGUUGGGUUAAGUCCCGCAACGAGCGCAACCCUUGUUCACUGUUGCCAGCACGUUAUGGUGGGGACUCAGUGGAGACCGCCGGGGUCAACUCGGAGGAAGGUGGGGAUGACGUCAAGUCAUCAUGCCCCUUAUGUCCAGGGCUUCACGCAUGCUACAAUGGCUGGUACAGAGAGUGGCGAGCCUGUGAGGGUGAGCGAAUCUCGGAAAGCCGGUCUCAGUUCGGAUUGGGGUCUGCAACUCGACCUCAUGAAGUCGGAGUCGCUAGUAAUCGCAGAUCAGCAACGCUGCGGUGAAUACGUUCCCGGGGUCUUGUACACACCGUCCCGUCAAGUCAUGAAAGUUGGUAACACCCGAAGCCGGUGGCCUAACCGUUGUGGGGGAGCCGUCGAAGUGU